GAACCGGUUCUCAUACGAUCACCACCAAAGUUAAGCAACAUUGAGCCUGAUCAGUACCUAGAUGGGUGAGCGCUUGGGAAUACUAGGUGCUGUAAG